rnacentral:lncRNA from 1 species
CAGCAUUAGAGCAGACAAACAUGAACGACUUUUAUUUCCUCUUCUCUUCACCCUUUUCUUUUUCCAUUCACAUGCGUGCCUUGUUGAAUAAAUUGGACUGUGCUUGCAUAUGAAUAGUUUGUUCCUUUUUAUUUUCUGUGUUUUAUGUUGUUCGUGUGUAUAUAUUGUAAUUACUUGCUGCAAUUAUCUUUAUAUUUCUUCAUAGCAGGAAGUAAGAUAAAGGCAUUAGUAUAUGACUAAUUUAAGUGCCCAUUCCUUCAUGUUACAGUUUUGCCAGAACACCUUGUAAAUUGUGAAUGGGCCUCCCUCUCUUUCUAGUCUUUGUUUUAAAAAUUAGAUAGGAGAGAGAGCUUUCAGGGGGUAUUUACUAGGUCUGCACCAUUAUUUUGAUUGGCUACUGAUUUUGACUGUUAUCAGAGUACUAGUUGCUUCUCUCUCUUUUCUUUUGUACUUUGAUGGGUCAUUUGGUUCAUGGACAAGUUAUAGAAAGAUUAAAAUGUAUGAGUAUUAUUAUAUGGUGAAUUAUAACCACUUGAUAAUUGUAUUUUUUAGGAAAUGUUUGGUUCUUUGUAUUAACAUUUAGGUAUGAUGUGCAAUCAUCUACAACGUCUGUUUGGUUUGAAAUGAAAAUGCAGAUGCCAAUCAUACCCUUGGCCUAAAUAAAAAGAAAAAAUCCAAUCUAAUUUUGGAUUAUAUUAAGAUGUGAACUACUUUUCUGUAACAUAAUCACAUAUUUUAUGAGAUAUAUAAUUUCUUUUACUAUUUUAGAUAAUGAACACUUCUAGAAGGAAAACUGAAAUGAGGUAUAAUAGAUGAAAUAGUUCUUUUGUAAUUUUUAACCUGAAAUUUAUUUUGACCUCUUGUAUUAUUAUUCCAUAUGAAUUUCAGCAUAAAAUGAUGCACUAAUUUCAACAUGACGAAUGCAAGAUUAUCUCAAUACAUCGAUUAAGGGGGGAACAAAACGUUGUCUUUUAAUGCAUAAUUUAAAACUGACAUAUGGAGCAUGUUUCACUCGAUUUUUGGACUUAGCUGGGUGAUGCCAUGCCAUGUAGUGUUAAAGAUGCAUAUGAAAGCUGGAGUGCAUGAAGUGUUGGUAAAUCCAUCAGGUUUAUCUGGAGAAUGGUAUCUACCUCAUUUUUUUGGCCUUUUUGGACAAAAAGGAAUCAUAGAUGCUUUAAUGGUUUUUCAACUCCAUUAAAGUUGAAAUAUGAAGAAUUGCCCAACCAACGAAACAGUCCUCCUACAUUGGCAUACAUAGUUUCGGGUGCUUGACACUUGUACAAAUGCCUUCUUGGUUUACCAAACACUAGUUCUAAAACAUAUAUUAACAUACGACUCAUUGGGAUCAUUUCGACAUACUCUUGAUGGCUUUGUCAACAUCCCGUGAACUCCAACUUGAUGGCUUAUCCCUAACAGAGAAAGGCAUGACCCAGGAAAGACCAAAAAAGCAACAAAACAUAUUCCAGAGGUCUGAGGCCGAUGGGCAGUGCAGUAGCAAGUGGUUGACACUUUUUGUGUGCUUGUGGCAGAAAUAGCAUCGUUAGCAAGUCAGAAUUUCCUUUUGGAGAGAUUAUUCCGUGUGAGGCAUGAGUUAUGUAGUGCAGUCACAUUGCAUUAACCUCUGUGGGAUCAAUUCUUAUUCAUACCCAUAGCAUUAUCAAAUAGGUAUCAUUCUGACAUUCGUGACAUUAGAUAUUUCCAUAAGAGAGAUGUAUGAACUUGACAUGGAGGUCUGGUAAGUGUAUAAAACAAUUGUAAGACCAAUAACAUUAUACGAGAGUGAAUAUUGGGCCUUUAAGGUCCAACAUAUCCACAAGAUGAGUGUUGCAAAAAUAUAAAUGUUAAGGUAAGUGUAUGAUUAAAAAUGCACAAGUAAAGUUACUGCUUAAAGAUGAAAUGAUAGAGGGUCAUUUGACGUGGUUUAGUCAUUUUUUAUGUAGACCUGUGGAUACACCAAUCUGUGGUGAUAUCGGAAUGAUUGAAGAUGUUCAAAAACGGAGACAAGAUAGCUCUAAAAUAACAUAGAAGUUGUCACGAAAGACCUACAAUAAAAGAAAGUUGACUCGAAAAACCUACAAUAUCUUAAAAUCAUUACAAAUUUAGUGAAUUUGAACACAAUGAAAUAAAAAGAUUUAUGUAGGCAUUAUUAACUAGUCGGGUUUAAGUCUUUAGUCAUGCUGGUAAACUUACAUUAGGUCCAACUUCUAAGAGUUUUUUAAAUCUUGUUACGUAUUUGUAUUUCUUUGGAAAAUAUAGAUAACCUGUUAGAGAGCCUAAAUUUGAAUGAAAUGGGUUCAGAAGGAACAAUACUGAAAUGAGGAUUCAUAUAGCCAAGACCAACUAGCUUUGGAUUGAACGCUAGUAGUUGUUGCUCUGAACUACCUGUGUGCCUUUCUGUGCCAUGACUGUCUUCAUUGUUUUGAUGCUUGGAUGUCAAAGAUAAUGUUCUAGUUCCAGUUUUCUACUAGUCAAUGCUUAAAAGCUUUGGCAGUCUACGUGUGUCUUGAGCAUGGAAUCAAGGAUUACUGCUUACUUUCUUUCUAUUAAUUUCUUCGCAGGAAAAAUCCGAAGUUGGUAUUGGUUCUCUGAGUAUGCAUUGAUGGUUUACAGCAUGUCUAGGAAUAGAUUCUGUGAAAGAAUUGGCAGACAACAUAAAAGCAAUCAUGGUAAUGCAUCACCAAUAUUACUUUUGCAAGUAAAAAACUUUUGGUAGUGGUCACAUCUGUUUGAUCUCGCGAUCUCCACUCUUAUAUUUCUCAUCCAAGGUCACCUUGCAGGGACAUGUUUCCAUUUUCUCUAUUGGUUACAUCAGAUAUAGUCGUGCUCGGAGUAUCUUUUACUGAUUAUUUAGAUUCUGUGCGAUGAUAUGCUUUUUUUUAAUGAUGCCCCUCACAUAUGGUGUCAGUUAUGUACGUAGUUGAUCUGCAAAGGGGUGCUUAUUAUCAGAAGUGCUAUGAUCCUGAUUGCAGAGGUAAAUAAUGGUCUUGUUUCAUUCAUUAGUUGAACUUUUUGGCUAAAGAAUGAUGACUUGUAGCCUUUAAUGAUGUUAAAAGGCUAUCGAUCUCCCUUACGACCUGUCCCUGAUAAUGUUAUACCUCAUUCAUCCAUUUCCUUCAAUCUGCCUGGACAUAAUAUGGACGAGGAGCAGCCAACUGUAACCAGUGACACAAGUAUUUUCAGCAGCUGCAAGAAAGAAUGGUGGCUUGAAGCUGUAAGAGUUGCAGACAGCAUUGAGAAUGUACAGAAAGCAUUGGAUCUUACUGAGGAGGAAACAUGUGAAGAAGAUGAGUGGUGGAUGGCUGUCGAAGAGACUGCAUACCAGAUCGAGCUAUCGUAUUUUGGAAAAGCCUAGCCAUUUCAGCCCUGGCAAAAUGCUCAACUUGUAAAACUAGCCAGGUCCAACUAGUUGGUGCAAACCAGUGCAUGGUGGAAUGCUACAUUCCAAUUUCCAAGUCUAUUUAGCUAUGCUAAUGGUUUGGGUAAAAAUCGAUACAAAUCGACUAAAUAAAUCAAAUUUAUUUUGGUUUAAUUUUGGCGUAGUUGAAUUUUUUUUGAAGAAAUGAAAGGGAAAGGAGACGUUUGAUGAAUAAAAUUGGGCCUAGCUACAGUUAGGUGAUGUAAGAUGGAUUUGUAAGUAUGCUGUUGGAUAUUUUGGUGUGUAGCUAAUUAAACAGUAGAUGCACGUGAAAGAUAAUUAGUUAAAGAAGAUGGUACUUUUCAUUUCCGCAUAAUUGAGAGUAGGAAGGUUAAACUAUUUAAUGUUCAAC